rnacentral:rRNA from 1 species
AUACGGAGGAUCCGAGCGUUAUCCGGAUUUAUUGGGUUUAAAGGGUGCGCAGGCGGCCAUUUAAGUCAGCGGUUAAAUCGUGGGGCUCAACCCCAUUCUGCCGUUGAUACUGGGUGGCUUGAUUGCGGUCGAGGUUGGCGGUAUUCGUUGUGUAGCGGUUAAAUGCAUAGAUAUGACGAAGAACACCGAUUGCGUAGGCAGCUGACCAGACCGCAAAUGACGCUCAUGCACGAAAGUGCGGGGAUCGAACAGGAUUAGAUACCCUGGUAGUCCGCACAGUAAACGAUGAAUACUUGUUUUCGGCGAUAUAAUGUCGGAGGCAAAGCGAAAGCGAUAAGUAUUCCACCUGGGGAGUACGCCGGCAACGGUGAAACUCAAAUGAAUUGACGGGG